GACAAGUUUCUUCUGUUAAUGACGAUUGAAUGAAUGGUCGCAGAACCGAGUGGUGCGACAGAAUCCCGGGGAACGCAACUAUCACAUCUUCUAUGCCUUGCUGGCAGGAGCCAAGAAAGAGCAUAAAAGUCUCUACUUCUUGGAAGAUCCAGCUGAAUCUUUUCACUACCUCAGCCAGUCGGGUUGCUUAAAGGAUAAAAGUCUAAAUGAUAAAGAGCUGUUUAACAGUGUAAUGGAGGCGCUGAAAGUGUUGGAGUUUUCUGAGGAAGAGAUCAGAGACAUGUUCAAGCUCCUCUCGGGUGUCCUGCAGCUCGGCAAUGUGGAAUUCAUGACGGCGGGAGGAGCUCAGAUCACCACCAAGCAAGUGGUGACCAAUGCCAGCGAGCUGCUCGGCCUAGACGCCUUCCAACUCUCUGAAGUACUGACCCAGCGCUCCAUUAUCCUGCGAGGGGAAGAAAUAUGCUCGCCGCUCACCAUCGAGCAGGCGGUGGAUUCCCGGGACUCGGUCGCAAUGGCGCUAUAUUCCCAAUGUUUUUCAUGGAUCAUUCUCAAGAUCAAUCAAAAAAUAAAAGGGAAGGAAAACUUUAAAUCCAUUGGCAUCCUAGAUAUCUUUGGCUUUGAGAACUUUGAGGUGAAUCGCUUUGAACAGUUCAACAUCAACUACGCCAACGAGAAGCUUCAAGAGUACUUCAAUAAGCACAUUUUCUCCCUGGAGCAGCUUGAGUACAACAGGGAAGGUGUCCAGUGGGAUGCAAUCGACUGGAUGGACAACGCUGAGUGUCUUGACCUCAUAGAGAAGAAAUUGGGCUUGUUGGCUCUGGUGAACGAAGAGAGUCGCUUCCCUAAAGGCACGGAUUUCACUCUUUUGGAGAAGUUGCACAGCAGACACUCCACCAACCCUUACUACGUGAAGCCUAGACUGGCCGACCAUCAGUUCGGUAUCAAGCAUUAUGCCGGAGAGGUCUUGUAUGACGUGAAAGGCAUUCUGGAGAAGAACAGAGACACGUUCAGAGACGACAUCCUCAACAUGCUCAAAGACAGCAGGUUGGACUUUAUAUACGACCUUUUCGAGAAGGUGGGCAGCAGGAACAACGAGGAGAAGAUGGGAACGGCAAGACGCAAGCCUACUGUCAGCUCCCAGUUCAGGGACUCGCUGCAUGCGCUCAUGGCUACUCUGAGUGCAUCCAAUCCUUUCUUUAUCCGCUGCAUUAAGCCCAACAUGGAAAAGAACCCAAACGUGUUCGACCCGGAGGUGGUGCUUAACCAGCUGCGCUACUCUGGGAUGCUGGAGACCGUCAAAAUCCGACGCGCUGGCUUCCCCGUCCGAAGAACUUUCAAAGAUUUCUUCUCACGAUAUAAGAUCAUUUACAAAGAGAAAGCAGCAGUAGCAGGAGAUGACAAGAAGAGGAGCACAGAUCUUCUAACUAAAUACGACAAAACUAAGAAGGAGUGGCAGCUGGGGAAGACCAAAGUGUUUAUGAAAGAGUGUCUGGAGCAACGCUUGGAGAAAGACCGGGACGAAGUACGACGCCAGGCGGCUAUGAUCAUAAGAGCUCACCUUCUCACUUUCUCCGCCAAAAAACACUUCAAGCGAGUACGCGCCAGCACCAUCACCCUGCAGAAGCACCUGCGCAGGCACAUCCAGCGUAGCCGCUUCGUGCGCCAGCGCAAAGCGACACUGGUGCUGCAGAGGCACAGGCGAGGUCAGGUGGCCCGAGCCCUUGUCCGUAAACUUCGAGGGGAGAGGAGGAAGAAGGAGGUCGAAGAGAGGAAGGAGGAGGAAGGAGGGGAGGAGACAGAAGAAGAGCGAGCCGCCGAGGGGAACAAUAAAUCCUCCGAGGACGAGGCGCGCCAGAUGGAGGAGAUCCUUCAGCUGGAGCGCGAGAUCGAGCGUCUGCAGAAGAAGCGCGAGGACGAGGUGUCGCAGCUUUGCGAGUCGUCCAAGCAGGAGCUGCAACUGCGCCGCGACGCUGAACUCAAGCGCAUGAAGAAGGAGGCCUCGCGCAAGGCCACCGGUCUCAUCGACCUGCUCAAUUUCGGCGGCGUGGAUCCAACCCUUGGCCAGGCGGCGCAGACAGAGGCCCGCACGGGUGCCGACGACCGUCCUGCUGAGGUCGCCCGGGCUGCCAAUGCCGCACAACCCAAGGACGAGGAGGUGGACGAGGGGUUCCACGCCGAGGAGGAGUACAUCCCGCUUCCUGACUUCCCCCCACCCGCCGAGACGGAUGCCCCGAUGGACCAGGCCAUAUUGGCCCAUCUCCCUCCGCCGCCACCAGCGUUCGCCGAAGGAACGGUGCCGCCCACCCCGCCUCCGCUCCCCACCGCUGAGCCCGAGAGGAAGGCCAGCAUGGUGGAGAGCCUGCCGGACGGCGAGGAGCCCAUCUACAGCCUGCCCGCCGACACAGAGUCCGACUAUGACCAGGAGGAGGAGGAUGGCUCGGUGACGGCUGGCGAUGACAGCUCCGUAUCAGGCAGCAACCGGGGCAGCGCCGCCGUGGCCGACGAGGAGCACCCGCGCAAGUCAACCUGCACCAGCGUCAGCGCCGAGUCUUACCGGGGAAGCUCUGACUCGUACGCCGGCAGCGAUGACGAGCACGAUGGCAUGAUGGACACGGAUGAGGAAGUGACAAACGGACGGGUGACCUUAUUCAACGGCAACGGGCCGCCAUAUUUCCACGGCUACCUCUACAUGAAAGCCGGUCUGAUGAUCCCCUGGCGGAGGCGCUGGUGCGUGCUGAAAGACGAGACCUUCAUGUGGUUCCGCUCCAAGCAAGAAUCCCUCAAGUCAGGCUGGCUCUACAAGAAAGGAGGAGGGCUCUCCACCCUCUCACGCAGGUUAAACUGGAAGAUGCGCUGGUUUGUGCUGAGGGACAGCAAGCUGAUGUACUACGACAACGACAGCGAGGAGAAACUGAAGGGAACCAUCGACAUCAGGGCUGCAAAGGAAAUCGUAGACAAUCACGAAAAAGAGAACGCUCUGAAUAUUGUGACAGACGAGAGGACCUAUCAAGUUUUUGCGGAGUCGCCAGAAGAUGCCAGCGGGUGGUUUAAUGUGCUCAGCAAGGUGCGAGUAUGCACACCAGAGCAGCUUCUGGAGAUGUCCCACGAGCAGGCCAACCCCAAAAAUGCUGUGGGCACGCUUGAUGUGGGCCUGAUUGACUCUGUCUGUGCUUCAGACAAUCCUGAUCGGCCCAACUCCUUUGUGAUCAUCACAGCCAACCGUGUGAUCCACUGCAACAGCGACACGCCUGAGGAAAUGCAUCACUGGAUCAGUCUGCUGCAGAAACCUAAAGGCGACACCAGGAUGGAAGAGUUCCUCGUUCGGGGUUGGCUCCAGAAGGAGGUGAAGACCAACGCCAAGAGCGCCUCGCUGAAGCUCAAGAAGCGUUGGUUCGUCCUCACGCACAAUUCGCUGGACUACUACAAGAGCUCUGAGCGCAACUCGUCCAAAAUGGGCACGCUGGUGCUCAACUCACUGUGCUCCGUCAUCCAGCCGGAUGAGCGAGUUCACAGGGAGACAGGUUACUGGAACAUCAUCGUGUAUGGCAGAAAACAUUCCUACCGCCUUUACACCAAAAUGCUAAAUGAGGCCAUGAGAUGGACCGCCGCCAUUCAAGGCGUCAUAGACAGCAAGACCCCCAUCGAGACCCCGACUCUGCAGCUCAUCAGAGACAUCAAGGAGAACAGUGUGAAUCUAGAAAUUGUGGAACAGAUGUAUAGAAGGAACCCCAUCCUCAGAUACACACAGCAUCCUCUCCACUCGCCGUUACUGCCGCUACCAUACGGCGAAGUCACCAGUCUGCAACGGCAGCAGGGCUACGCCAGCCUGCAGGACGAAGCGGUGCGAGUCUUUAACUCACUGCAGGAGAUGGAGACACUGGCCGACACGGUGCCCAUUAUCCAGGGCAUCCUGCAGACCUGCCAGGACCUCCGUCCUCUCAGGGAUGAGGUUUAUUGUCAGGUUAUCAAGCAGACCAAUCAUGUGCCUCAGCCCAACAGCCCAGCUAAUCGAGCGCAUUGGCACCUCCUCACUUGCAUGAGCUGCACUUUCCUUCCCAGUCGCGUCAUCCUCCGAUAUCUUCGCUUCCACUUGAAAAGGGUGCGUGAACGCUACCCCAACACAGAGAUCGAGCGCUACGCCGCUUUCAUCGGAGAAUCGCUGAAGAAGACCAAGACUCGUGAGUUUGUACCCUCACAGGAGGAGAUCGCCGCCUUGCUGGUUAGGCAGGAAAUGAGCACCACUGUUUACUGCCAUGGGGGAGGAUCCUGCAAGAUCUCCAUUAACUCGCACACCACAGCUGGAGAGGUUGUGGAGAAGUUGAUCCGAGGGUUGGCUAUGGAGGACAGCAAGAACCUUUUUUCUCUUUUUGAGCACAAUUCUGUGACUGAUCGAGCUUUGGAGAGCAGAGUCAUUGUGGCAGAUGUUUUAGCCAAGUUUGAAAGGCUUGCUGGCAGUGAGGAAGAGGAGGAAGAAGGAGAAUGGAAGCUGUAUUUCAAGCUCUACUGCUUCUUGGAUGUGGAAAGCAUGCACAAAGAAGGAGUGGAGUUUGCCUUCAUGUUUGAACAGGCUCACGAGUCUCUCAUCAGCGGACAUUUCCCAGCGUCUGAGGAGACGUUGCAGCAUCUGGCCGCUUUAAGGCUGCAGUAUCUCCACGGUGACGGGGCCGGCAGGGCUGGCUGGAGUCUGGGAACCGUAUAUCCAAUCGGACGUCUCCGCAGCCGCAUCAUACAUUCCACCAAGCCUGGCGUGGGUUCUGCAAGCGUAACGGCGGGAGGAGGAGGGACAGCGGACAGUAAGGCAGCGGCGGGGGGGCCGGGUGGUGUGGGCGGCGCAGUGGAGAAACGCAAAACGCCGAGCUUCUUGGACGGCACGCUGAGGAGGAGCUUCAAGACGGGGUCACUAAAGAAACAGAAGGUGGAAGAAGAGCAGAUGCUGGAGAUGUGGGUGAAGGAGGAGACAUCGGCCACACGCACCAGCGUGCUGGAGAAGUGGACACGGCUGCAGGGCAUGGCGCAGCACCAGGCCAUGCUCAAAUACAUGAGCAUCAUCAAGGAGUGGCCCGGAUACGGAUCUACUCUCUUUGACGUGGAGUGUAAGGAAGGCGGUUUCCCCCAUGACCUGUGGCUGGGCGUGAGCGCCGACAACGUGUCUGUCUACAAGCGAGGCGAACCCAAACCGCUGGAGACAUUCCAGUAUGAGCACAUCACAUUUUUUGGCGCCUCGCAAAUCUACACCUACAAGAUCAUCGUAGACGAGAGGGAGAUGUUCUUUGAGACGCCACUGGUUGGCGAGAUCACCAAGAUCAUGAGGGCUUACAUUAACAUGAUGGUGAAAAAACGCUGCAGCAUCAUGUCGGUCACCAGCGUUGCCAGCUCGUGGGUGAGGUGAUUGCGGUUGGGCAUUCAAAGCCAUAGGUUUUCCCUAGCGGCUAACGAUGCCCCUCCUGGACUGAGGCAGUCACACUAAUCCUUGCCAAGCAUAGAAAAUCAACGCUGAAAGCAAAUGGAUUCAUGAGAGCGGGUCGGAUACAUUUCAUUGGAGCAUGAAACUUGAACCUGGAUUUUGGAGGACAGUCCUUUCACACACACGACAAUUACCCAGUGAUAGCCCUUGCAUGUAGAUGUUCAAAUCCAAUCCAAAUUCUCAGACGUCCGUCUUUGUGGGCCUCAAGCGCAAAGCAGCCAUUACCUGUUCUGUCCUACAUUGAUCCAGGACCCAGGGGGUCUUCGACAGAAGCAAGGAUAUACCCCAAGAACCUCGCAUUUGUUGGGGGGUCUAUAUUCAAGCAUUUUGGGGUAGUGUUCACACUGGUUGUAGGAGAACCACCACUUAAAACCCACAGAGAGGGCUAAUGUCCAGGUGUUCUACCCACCAGAUCGCAUGGGUCUCGGCUUCUUCAUUGGACGUGGUAGUAGUCCAUUCCAGCAUCUAACCCCAUGAUCUGGGGCCUUGAUGAGGGCAUCGUCCUGGGCGUGAUUUCUUCAUCCAAGACCAGGGGUCUCCAAACUAUUCCACAUCAGGCCGCAGUGGGUGCUGGAUUUCUUUCCAACAAAUCUGCCAUGCCUUGACUUGGUUUGUGAAAUCAAUAGGUAAUCACAAUGACCAGACACACUAGGGCAGGGGUCCCCAACCUUUUUUGCACCACGGACCGGUGUGAUUUGGGUUUUUUUUUCACGGACCGGUGUUUGGUCAAAUAUUCCCCCCUUAUAAAAUUUUGCUACCAAAGCUUUUAUGACGGUGAAAAAAAGCCCUCUUUUAUAUUCAGUUGGACUCUCAAUGUUAUCCAACGGUGCUAAAAAACUAUUUACAUCAUAAACAGACAUGUGCAACACGAAAAUAGCGUAAAUUAAUGCUUAACGACACGGCGAAGUCGUUAAGUGAGACAGCUGCAAGCAGUUGUUGUGUGCAGUUAACAUGAGUAACGUAAGUUCAUAUUCCUUUCUUUAAAGAAAGUUUGUAGUGUGUACUUUUGAAUCGCUGCAUUUGCGGUCAUUUUUAACGUUGCGCCCGUGCCAAAUUUGUCAGAACACCGGCAAUGUGCGGCAGAAAAAUACAGCAAAUGUGAAAUAACAUUUGUUUUUAGCCCCGUCGUGUUAAGUGCAGGGAAAAUACAACUCACCCGCUGAAUCAGUGGGAGGCCUGAGCUUGUUUUAUUGAGAUGAGAUGGUCCCGAGAUGGGAGAGUGAGAGAAGCUAGCUUCACAAAGAUACGAUGUUGGAAAUUAUAGCACAGUUUUCACUGCGCUCCUAGCGAUAUCAGGAUAUUCCGAAAUGACUUUAAUCCAUAACCUCGGUAGAGCUGUUGUCUCAAAUGUACGUUAAAGGUCGCCGUGAUUUGUAAUCACUACAAGCUGAUAUUCCUGUUGCACAGACAUGCUCGAAUCACUCGGUUUAUUCACAUACGGGUCACGAAUCCACUCCUUCGCAGUUCAUGGGUCUUUAGUUAUUGGGAAGUAGCAUAGAUCUUGUUUUCUUCGAAUUGUAGGCUCAUCUUCUGGCUCGUCAGGUGCCCUUUCCCCGUAAAAAAUGUCCAAAGACGUCUGUUUUUCAGUCGUUCUAGUGUGGGGGCUAAUUAUUUCCGGGAACAAAUGUGAUGCGCCCGCCCUACGUCAUACGUUAUUAUCGAGGCCAAGCGCACAUUGAUAUACAAAACAAGAUGUACUGUUAACAGUCCAAUCAAUGCAUUUCUAUGACGACCUCCUAUCCUGUUGUUGUAUAUCUAGAGUAGACAGGGAUAUUCGUGUGUUAAGCGGCACAGGCCAAAGUCAGUCGGCCAGAGUGCAGACGUCAAUAAAUUAUUUAUUAUUUCUGCGUGGCCUGGUACCAAAUGCACCGCGGACCCGGUCGUUGGGGACCCCUGCACUAGGGCAUAAUCUUAACAAAACUCAAUUUAAGGCAUGACAAAAACAGUACAACACCUUUGCACCAGUCUGGUGUCUUUACAAGUGUAAUCAGUUGAUUGUAGUCAGGUGUUAAUUAUUUUAGCAGAAACCUAAUUGGUUAAAUGGUCUGUGCUCGAUCCUUAAGAACAAAAACCAGGACCCACAGCGGCCCUUGAGGACCAGUUUGGGCCUCCCUGUCCUAGACGCUUCAAAGAUCUAUGAGAUUGGGAAGAGGGGGAGGCUAUGUCUUGGGAUAUUCCUUUCCUGAAACCAAGAGGGGCUGCCUCUGGGGACCUAGGUUACGGUUCUCUCCCAGGAUACCAGCCUGUCAGACUAAAGACCACUUCCUAUUGUGUUCCAGUUAGGGGGACGGAUCUUGUGGUGAGGUCCCCAAAAUCAAAGGGCGCUACUUCUGAGGACUCGCGGUUGGGGAUUAAUUUCUUCCACUCCAGGAACCAGGGUGUUGCUUCCCUCUAAGGCCCCAGGUUAUGGCUCUCUUUUUUUGGACUCCACCACUCAACGAUCUAGUCGAGCCUACCGUUCUAGAUCUACAGUAUAUAACAAGACCACUCUAGCCCCAUGAUCCAAGGAGUGCAGUCUCACCCACAGGAACCCCAAGCACCAAGGAGGGGCAAGCUUCUAGGACCCAGGGAUGGGGGCGUACCCCUGUUCUGUUGCACUGCCAGACAUUCUGCUUCAAGCUCUCUCGAGUCUCUCUCUUUCUCUUCUCGUGCAUUCGUCCCAACUCCCGUCGCGGGUUAUUAAGUUACAGUGUUGAAUUCUUGCUUGCUUUUGUUGGUAUUCACUGUAUGUAAAAUCACAUUUACACGUUUGUCAUUUGAGUGCGGGGUCUUUUCUGUUUGGAGAAGGAGGAAACAAAGAAGCCAUUCACUCACCAGUGCCACUGUGUGGACAAAAGAAGAUACUACAGCCAAAAACAAAGCUGCUUCGAAUACUUUGGAAUUAUAUCAAGGAAGACAAUAUGUGUGUUUUGACUUUAUUUUGGCACAAAAACUUAACCAAGUUUUAUUGUUUGUGUAUUGUAUAUCAGGUAUAAUAAGAGUUAUUAACUUUUGGGCAGGCACAGCAUUCCUAGUGUAAGAUAAGAGCAAUUGAAAUGGUGUCAUUCACUGGCAGUGCCAUUUUUGUGAUUCACAGAGAAACACUAUGUUUUAAGGAAGUUAUCUUUUUUUUUACGCUAUUAGUACUGUAUACUCUUGUCAUGGUCAUGCUGUUUUCUUUAAAACAAAAAUGACAUAAGCGCACCACUUUGGUUAGGUUCAUACCGUAGGUCUUAAUGCAUGAAUCCAAUUUUUUCGUGUUUUUCCGACUCGAGCGAGGCAUUAACUUGACGGUCUGAAUGGUAAAGUCUCAUAAAAGUGGACCAUUUUAAAUCUUAUCUAAGUCACUUUCGAAUGUCGUUCAAAUCCGAUUUGGGCCACAUUUUUCCGGAAUGUGGCUGCGGUCUGAACUGUCAAGUCCCCCGAAUCGGAAUUCAUGUGGCAAUUACGUCAGCAAAGAGCGAGAGAGACAGGGCGCUACGGCAGCAGUGCAUUAGCAUUAGCAAUUAGCUUGAACACGGCUUCUAGGGAAGAUGCGGGUUUGACAACAGAUAUGACAGAAAAAAUCGGAAUUGUGCAUUAAGACCUGCAGUAUGAACCUCGCCUUGUACGUCUGUGAUUCCAUGGAACUUAACUUACUGGUAUUUAUGUUAUUACUUGUGUAACAACACCUUUGCUAAAGGUGCUGUGUGUGGUAUGCUGCUGUGUGUUUGUGUAUGGGUGUUGCAAUCCAAAUUGCAUUAUAUGGGAAAAGAAAUGAAGAAAAGUAACACGUGUAUUACUCGGAUAUGAGAUGUAUUUAGUAUAUGACUAAGCAAACGAUGGUGUUGUGAUUGUGUGUUAAAGGUAAGAAAGCAUGGGGAAUUAUU